rnacentral:rRNA from 1 species
ACGCUAGCUACAGGCUUAACACAUGCAAGUCGAGGGGCAUCAGGAAGAAAGCUUGCUUUCUUUGCUGGCGACCGGCGCACGGGUGAGUAACACGUAUCCAACCUGCCCUUUACUCGGGGAUAGCCUUUCGAAAGAAAGAUUAAUACCCGAUAGCAUAAUGAUUCCGCAUGGUUUCAUUAUUAAAGGAUUCCGGUAAAGGAUGGGGAUGCGUUCCAUUAGGUUGUUGGUGAGGUAACGGCCCACCAAGCCUUCGAUGGAUAGGGGUUCUGAGAGGAAGGUCCCCCACAUUGGAACUGAGACACGGUCCAAACUCCUACGGGAGGCAGCAGUGAGGAAUAUUGGUCAAUGGGCGCUAGCCUGAACCAGCCAAGUAGCGUGAAGGAUGAAGGCUCUAUGGGUCGUAAACUUCUUUUAUAUAAGAAUAAAGUGCAGUAUGUAUACUGUUUUGUAUGUAUUAUAUGAAUAAGGAUCGGCUAACUCCGUGCCAGCAGCCGCGGUAAUACGGAGGAUCCGAGCGUUAUCCGGAUUUAUUGGGUUUAAAGGGAGCGUAGGUGGACUGGUAAGUCAGUUGUGAAAGUUUGCGGCUCAACCGUAAAAUUGCAGUUGAUACUGUCAGUCUUGAGUACAGUAGAGGUGGGCGGAAUUCGUGGUGUAGCGGUGAAAUGCUUAGAUAUCACGAAGAACUCCGAUUGCGGAGGCAGCUCACUGGACUGCAACUGACACUGAUGCUCGAAAGUGUGGGUAUCAAACAGGAUUAGAUACCCUGGUAGUCCACACAGUAAACGAUGAAUACUCGCUGUUUGCGAUAUACAGUAAGCGGCCAAGCGAAAGCAUUAAGUAUUCCACCUGGGGAGUACGCCGGCAACGGUGAAACUCAAAGGAAUUGACGGGGGCCCGCACAAGCGGAGGAACAUGUGGUUUAAUUCGAUGAUACGCGAGGAACCUUACCCGGGCUUAAAUUGCAGUGGAAUGAUGUGGAAACACGUCAGUGAGCAAUCACCGCUGUGAAGGUGCUGCAUGGUUGUCGUCAGCUCGUGCCGUGAGGUGUCGGCUUAAGUGCCAUAACGAGCGCAACCCUUAUCUUUAGUUACUAACAGGUUAUGCUGAGGACUCUGGAGAGACUGCCGUCGUAAGAUGUGAGGAAGGUGGGGAUGACGUCAAAUCAGCACGGCCCUUACGUCCGGGGCUACACACGUGUUACAAUGGGGGGUACAGAAGGCAGCUAGCGGGUGACCGUAUGCUAAUCCCAAAAGCCUCUCUCAGUUCGGAUCGAAGUCUGCAACCCGACUUCGUGAAGCUGGAUUCGCUAGUAAUCGCGCAUCAGCCACGGCGCGGUGAAUACGUUCCCGGGCCUUGUACACACCGCCCGUCAAGCCAUGGGAGCCGGGGGUACCUGAAGUACGUAACCGCAAGGAUCGUCCUAGGGUAAAACUGGUGACUGGG